rnacentral:rRNA from 1 species
GCAACGAGCGCAACCCUUGCCUUUAGUUGCCAGCAGUUCGGCUGGGCACUCUAAAGGGACUGCCGGUGUUAAACCGGAGGAAGGCGGGGAUGACGUCAAGUCCUCAUGGCCUUUAUGACCAGGGCUACACACGUACUACAAUGGCCGAUACAAAGGGCAGCGACACUGCGAGGUGAAGCCAAUCCCGUAAAAUCGGUCUCAGUCCGGAUUGGAGUCUGCAACUCGACUCCAUGAAGUUGGAAUCGCUAGUAAUCGUGGAUCAGCAUGCCACGGUGAACACGUUCCCGGGCCUU